CCUUCGUUUAUUUAAAUAUUUUUUUUUGUCAAAAUUCGUUCAGCCAUAAACAGUGUAGGGGGUGGGGCUUCCAGUGGUGUCGGUUAACAGCCGAGAGCUCAAAACAUGUAUGCAAUUACCAAUCAUUCCAGAGACAUACAGUCAUGUCCAUAAGUAUUUGGACAGCGGCACGAUCGUUUGUCGUUUUGCUUCUGUACUCGGCCACAACGGAUCUGUAAUGGGGUAAACCCAGAUGUGAUUCGAAGUGUAGACUUUCAGCUUUAGGAAUUACAGGCAUCCGGUACGUUCUUAAAAAGAAGGAAUGCACCGACAGGGCUCAGCAACAACAAAAAGCUCGGAAUACCAGAGAUCACAGAACUCUUUCCUUGGUGAAGAAAAUCCUCUUCACAACAUCUAGCCGAGUCAAGAACCCUCUCGGGGGAGGUAGGCGUAUCGUUGUCGGAAGUCUACAAUCAAGCAUGUAAAUACAGAAGGUUCACCUCAAGAAGCAAACCAAUAACAAUAACAUUCAAGGACAGAAAGGAUAGAUUGGACUGGGCUGAAACAUUUAAAAAAAUAAAAAUGAAAAAAAAAAAAGCCUGCCCAGUCCUGGAUGAAGAUUCCACGGACAGAUGAAACCACGAUUAACUCGUACCAGAAUGAUGGGAAGAGAAGAGUAUAGAGAGAGCACGAUCCAAAGCACACCAUAUCAACUGUUGAACAUGUGGAGGGAGUGUUAUGGCAUGGGGAUGUACGUCUGCCAACGGAAAUGGGUCACCGAUGUUUAUUAACGACGUGACUCGGAUGAAUUCUGAAGUGUAUCGAGCGAUACUUCCGGUGUAUUUCGAGUGUUAUCUGUAUCGCCUUUUGUGUAUUUCUAGUCAUCAGGUCGUCACUGUUGGAGAUUUUGUGCUACCGUUUCUGAAAGGCGUUUUUUUUUUAAACCCAAAGGUCACAUUAUAAGCUCUCCUUGAAAAGGUGGAUUGAAGUAUCAUUCAAAUAAUUGGCCCCAAAGUAUAUUUAUAACUCGGAACAAACUGAGCGAUAAAACCAUGAAAGACGACACCUUUCUUUUCUUUCCUUUUUAAUCGCUGUCGAUGAAAUGUCCUCCACUCUGCCGGAUAAUACAUGAGGCAAAUAGUAUCAACUGAAUCAACGCGUCAUCAGACACGUACCAUAAUUGAGGUAUGAUUUUACACGAACUAUCUAAGUGGAGCAGCAGUGGAGUUUAAGGCCAUCUUGCAGCCGUAUAUUAUAUACAAUCCUUCUAAAGUGACUUUUUCUGCUCAGGUCAGCAGGAACCUGAGGGGAUUGAGUUCUAUUUGUGAAGAGUGUUCACUGUCGAGCUGGCAGUCAGGGAGAAAUGUGGAAGAAGAGAACUCUUUUAGUAUCACUGGCCCCGAAAUGUCCGCUGGAAAAAAAAAAUCUCUCACUGCAGCAGAGUGGUUUGUGCUCUCAUUUAAUUACGUUAUAAUCACAUUAAAUAAAAGGAAAAACCUUGACAUGUACUCCUGUCUGACAGGGUUUUAGCUUCAUGCUAUUCUUAGAUGCUGACCUAUUUGUUCUAGGGCAAGGGCGCGUUUUUGAUGGAGACUAGAAAGCACGUUUACCGGAUGCUGUAAAUAUAAAUGAAUAUCAAUUAACUAUAAAAAAAUAAUACAACAUCAUCUGCUACGAACAUGUAGUAAUGCCGUCACGGGUUAAUUUAAAGCUGCCGGAGGUGGG
ensembl:lncRNA